UAUCUCUGUAGAGUCUGCAUAUCAAUAAGCGGAGGAAAAGAAACUAACUAAGGAUUCCCUUAGUAACGGCGAGUGAAGCGGGAAGAGCUCAAAUUUGAAAUCUUCAAGGUUUUACCUUGACGAAUUGUAGUUUAAAGAAGUGUUUUCUGUUGAAGUUUCGGUAAAAGUUCUUUGGAAUAGGACAUCAUAGAGGGUGAGAAUCCCGUAUUUGACCAGUUAUUUCCAGCUUUGUGAUACACUUUCAAAGAGUCGGAUUGUUUGGGAAUGCAGUCCAAAAUGGGUGGUAAAUUUCAUCUAAAGCUAAAUACUGGCGAGAGACCGAUAGCGAACAAGUACCGUGAGGGAAAGAUGAAAAGAACUUUGAAAAGAGAGUUAAACAGUACGUGAAAUUGUCAAAAGGGAAGCGUUUGACACCAGUGUUGUUUUCCUCGAAAAUCAAUUAAAAAAGGCAGGAUUUUGUGUUGUAUUGACUUUAUCAGCUUUCUGCACUCUUUUCUUGUCUUUUUUAAUGCACUUUUCGUUUAACAAGUCAACAUCAAUUUCUUUUGUUGUAAAAGGGUCAUUGGAAGGUGGCUUUCUUUUCGGAGAAAGUGUUUAUAGCCUUUGGCUUCUGCAAUCGGAGAGAUUGAGGUCUGCAGCGUAGAUCCUUCGGGGCUAGAUACGUAGAUGCUAAGUUAUAGUUUUUUAUAGACAACUUGUUGACUAUAAUUAAUCAUGUAGCUUACUCGUUUGCGCUAUUUUACCUACGCUUAGGAUGUUGAAGAUGUAGCACAUCAU
rnacentral:rRNA from 1 species